GCUCCAAUAGCGUAUAUUAAAGUUGUUGCGGUUAAAAAGCUCGUAGUUGGAUUUCUGCCAAGGACGACCGACCGCCUCGGGUGUGUGUCUGUGUUGACUAAGGCAUCCUCUAGUGACUCCAGUGCUUAACCGUACUGGCUGUUCUAGGACUUUUUACUUGAGGAAUUAGAGUGUUUCAAGCAGCAUAUGCCUUGAAUAUA
rnacentral:rRNA from 1 species